AAGGUUUUUUUUUUUUUUUUUUUUUUUUUUUUUUUUUUUUUUUUUUUUUUUUUUUUUUUUUUUUUUUUUUUUUUUUUUUUUUUUUUUUUUUUUUUUUUUUUUUUUUUUUUUUUUUUUUUUUUUUUUUUUUGCCUAAGAGAUUUUCUUAUCACUAAUGGCUUCAAAGUCGGAAAGGCCGAUCCUACCUUAUUUACUAAAACUCUUGACAAUGAUUUGUUUGUAUGCCAAAUUUAUGUUGAUGAUAUUAUAUUUGGGUCUACUAAUGAAUCAACAUGUGAGGAAUUUAGUAGGAUCAUGACACAGAAAUUUGAGAUGUCUAUGAUGGGGGAGUUGAAGUACUUCUUAGGAUUUCAAGUGAAGCAACUCCAAGAGGGCACCUUCAUUAGCCAAACAAAGUACAUUCAAGACAUUCUAACCAAGUUUGAGAUGAAGGAUGCCAAGCCCAUCAAGACACCCAUGGGAACCAAUGGGCAUCUCGACCUCGACACGGGAGGUAAAUCCGUCGAUCAAAAGGUAUACCGGUCGAUGAUAGGCUCUUUACUCUAUCUAUGUGCAUCUCGACCGGACAUUAUGCUUUCGGUAUGCAUGUGUGCAAGAUUCCAAGCCGACCCUAAGGAAGCUCACCUUACGGUCGUAAAACGAAUCUUGAGAUAUUUAGUUCAUACUCCUAAGUUUGGGCUUUGGUACCCUCGGGGAUCCACAUUUGAUUUAAUUGGUUAUUCGGAUGCCGAUUGGGUGGGGUGUAAGAUUAAUAGAAAGAGCACAUCGGGGACUUGCCAGUUCUUGGGAAGAUCCUUGGUGUCUUGGGCUUCAAAGAAGCAAAAUUCCGUAGCUCUUUCUACCGCCGAAGCCGAGUAUAUUGCCGCAGGCCAUUGUUGCGCGCAAUUACUUUGGAUGAGGCAACCCCUUAGGGACUAUGGUUACAAAUUAACCAAAGUUCCUCUUCUAUGUGAUAAUGAGAGUGCAAUCCGCAUGGCGGAUAAUCCCGUUGAGCAUAGCCGCACUAAACACAUAGCCAUUCGGUAUCAUUUCUUAAGGGGUCACCAACAAAAGGGAGAUAUCGAGAUUGCAUAUAUUAACACUAAGGAACAAUUAGCCGAUAUCUUUACCAAGCCACUAGAUGAACAAACUUUUAACAAACUUAGGCAUGAGCUAAAAUUCUUGAUUCUAGGAAUUUCUUUUGAUGUUUUGCACACAUAGCUCAUUAAUAUACCUUUGAUCAUGUAUCUUUUAUAUGCUAUGACUAAUGUGUUUUCAAGUGAAUUUCAAACCAAGUCAUAGGUAUAUUGAAGGGAAUUGGAGUCUUCGGCGAAGACAAAGGCUUCCACUCCACUCCAUCGACUCAUCCUUCGCCGUCGCUCCAAACAAUUCUCCAACUUUGGUAUAAUCUUCACUCAUAUUUUGUUUGCCAAAGGGGGAGAAAGUAGUUUUCAAAGGGCUUAUAUUUCACUCAAGUAUCCGUUUUUGGCGAUUUAUGCCAAAGGGGGAGAGAGCAUGAGCCCAAAGCAAAAGGACCGCACCACCACCAAUUUCAAAAAUUUUAGUCUUUCAAUUUGGUUUUAAAGAAGUAUUUUCAAACUGGUAUCUUAUUUGUGAUAUAAUUUCAAAUUGGUAUACCCUCUUCAAAAUUAAUAUCAAAACCCUCUUGAACACUAAGAGGAGGAUUUCAUUAAGGGGGGGUUUUGUUUAAGUCAAAGGAAAAGCAUUUGAAACAGGGGAGAAAAUUUAAAAUCUUGAAAAUGCUUCUCAAAAUCUUACUCAUUUACCUUUGACUGUUUGCAAAAGGACUUUGAAAAGAAUUUACAAAAGAAUUUGCAAAAACAAAACAUGUGGUGCAAGCGUGGUCCAAAAUAUGUAAAAUAAAGAAACAUUCCAUGCAUAUCUUAUGAUAUAUAUAUUGGCUCAAUUCUAAGUAACCUUUGCACUUACAAUUAUGCAAACUAGUUCAAUUAUGCACUUCUAUAUCUGCUUUGGUUUGUGUUGGCAUCAAUCACCAAAAAGGGGGAGAUUGAAAGGGAAUUAGGCUUACACCUAUUUCCUAAUUGAUUUUGGUGGUUGAAUUGCCCAACACAAAUAAUUGGACUAACUAGUUUGCUCUAGUCUAUAAGUUCUACAGGUGCCAAAGGUUCACAAUAAGCCAAUAAAAAGACCAAGAAAAGGGUUCAAACAAGAGAGCAAAAGACAACCCGGAAGGCACAUUGGUCUGGCGCACCGGACUGUCCGGUGUGCCACCGGACAGUGUCCGGUGCACCAGGGAACUCGACGCCCAACUCUUCACCUUCGGGAAUUUUUAGAGGAGCUCCGCUAUAAUUCACCGGACUGUCCGGUGCACCACCGGACAGUGUUCGGUGCCCGAAGGGAGAGCAACUCUGAACUCGCCAGCUUCGGGAAUCCGCUCCGCUAUAAUUCACCGGACUGUCUGGUGAGUCACCGGACAGUGUCCGGUGUGACAGCGGAGCAACGACUACUUCGCGCGCAACGGUCAACUGCAACGCAUUAAAUGCGCGCCUGCACGCGCAGAGGAGUAGAGCACGCGCGGAUGGCACACCGGACAGCCUACAGGGCCUGUCCGGUGCACCACCGGACAGCCAGGCGGGCCCACAAGUCAGAGCUCCAACAGUCAGAACCCAACGGCCAGGUAACGUGGCUGGUGCACCGGACAGUGUCCGGUGGCGCACCGGACUGUCCGGUGCGCCCGUCGACAGCAGCCUCCACCAACGGUCAAGUUUGGUGGUUGGGGCUAUAAAUACCCCAACCACCCCCACAUUCAAGUCAUCCAAGUUUUCCAUCUUCCAACUACUUACAAGAGCUCUAGCAUUCAAUUCUAGACACAACCAAAGAGAUCAAUCCUCUCCCAAGUCCGAAAUUACUCCAAAUCAAAUAGUGACUAGAGAGAGCGACACUUGUGUUCAUUUGAGCUCUUGCGCUUGGAUUGAUUCUUUUCUUUCAUAUUCUUUCUUGUCAUCAGAACUCAAUUGUAACCGAGGCAAGAGACACCAAUUGUGUGGUGGUCCUUGCGGGGAAGUUUGGUUCCCGUUUGAUUGAGAAGAGAAGCUCACUCGGUCCGAAGGACCGUUUGAGAGAGGGAAAGGGUUGAAAGAGACCCUGUCUUUGUGACCACCUCAACGGGGAGUAGGUUUGCGAGAACCGAACCUCGGUAAAACAAAUCCUUGUGUCUCACUUCUUAUUCGCUUACGAUUUGUUUUUGCGCCCUCUCUCGGACUCGAAUUUAUUUCUAACGCUAACCCGGCUUGUAGUUGUGAUUAAGUUUGUAAAUUUCAGAUUCGCCCUAUUCACCCCCCUCUAGGUGACUUUCACUAGGUUUGCCUCUUCAAAUCGUGGUGAGUAGCGUCCUACGCAAUGCCCUACGGUUAUCGCUUCGUACUUCUGCGAUCGGAGUAGACUUUAGGGGCGGCAAUCGCUGGUGACGCAUGCUCCGGCAAUGGUGCCGUCGUCACUGAUCUGUGCGCCGCCGGAGUUUGAGCAGUGUCUGGGCGGGGCGGAUUGACCGCCGGAUCAGUUCUAGACGGCUUAGAUUAGAAAUUGCAAUACCCCUUCACCGCGUUUGAGUUGUACUGUUGAUCGCGAAUCGGGCGGUUGUAAGCAAUUAUUAGUUUAUAAUAGCGCUGGUCAGAUCCUAGACGUGGAUCCCCGAUCCAACGGUGGUUGGGGAAGCGGGAGCGGGACCUCGGCCGAUCUAAUCUGGGCGCCUCGUUUCAGAUCGGACAGCUGUAAUCGGCCGAUACCCAUUCGGCUGUUACAUUUGUAUAAGAAACCCUAGGUUUUCUCGGUUUCAACCCGCAGUCCAACCACGGUGCAGUAUGAGUCUAGGGUUUACUUACGCCAAGCCCCCUACUGUCUCUGGUAAUUGGCGCCCAGUCCAAGGUGUUAUAAAAUCAGAUAUUAUUAAAUAGAAAUGGAUUUUUAAUAUGAAAAUAUUGGCUAUAAUUUGUUUAAUUCAUAUAAAAUGCAUACUUAGUCCAAAUUAACCCAUUCCAAUUUCUAUAAUUUUAUAAUAUUAUUGUUUAUCCAUUAGUGUCACUGUUUUGCCAUGAAAGACACAUUUAAUUUUAUCUCUCACUUAACCUUGUAUUAAAUACGUAAAACAUUUGGAAAUUCAGAUCUUAAAAUCUAUAACUCAAAAUUUAUGAUUCAUGUUUCUAGGAUCUUAUUUUAAUGUGUAGAUUAUUAUUGUGUAUUUUAUUUACAUGUUGGGUGUGAUGUUAAUUUUGCUAUACUAUGUAUGUAUUGUGUUGAUGCGAGUAUACGAGCAAGCUACUGUGGAUCCUGAGGUCCAGCAGAUAGAAGUUGCUGAGUAGGAGCUCAUUGAAGGCAAGUUGUGCCCUUGAUCACUUAUUUUUACCCAGCCAUGUUUCUUAUUAAUCAUAAUGAUCUGCAUAGGUUAGUUUUGAUGGGAUCCAAUAGGUUACCCCAGUUUUGGCUAUCUUUAUACCUUGUUUUGCCACUGAAUAUUUUUGGGUAGUGCUUGCUAUUGCUUAUUUUGGUUCUGGGUAUGGAGAUACAUUAUUCAUGAUUACACUUUCAUUCUCUGUUUAUUGUUACUGUUCAUGUUAAGAUUAUUAUGUUAAGGGGAACAUGGAGCGAACACUAGGGAAAACAGUGCUACCACAAGGGUAGUAUGGGAUGCCCUUGGCUGAUUAACUAGGAAAGCUAGUAGAUGACUACCUUACCCGAUAGGGGCAAGGGCAGUAGGGGAGUGGUUAGUGUAGGGAGGUCCUUGGGUUGAUUUUGCUGCGAUGGCGGUCAGGCGAGGGAUCCCUGCCUCGCCUCCUCGGUAGAGGUGUAUGGGAUUGGCCGUCUCUUGGCAGAUGGGUAACAUGACUUGUGGGUAAAGAUGUGCAACCUCUGCAGAGUGUAAAACCGGUCAUGAGCAGCUCGGACCCUCACAUGAUUAAUCUAUGGAAUUAAAACUCAAUUUAUCAUUAUUCAUCGCAUUGGGAUUAUUUUAUUAUUACUUUUACUUAUUAUUACUAAGGUUUGGUAUUUACUUAUACUUAGUAAUUGCUAAUAAAAUUUUGACCAACUUAUAAAAGCAAUGCUCAGCUUCAACCUUUAUUUUGUUGAUCAGCCUUACACUUCACAUGAACUCCCACCUUUGGGCGAGUUCAUGCACAUUAUUCCCCACAACUUGUUGAGCUAUAAUGUAUGUGAGCUCACUCUUGCUGUCUCACACCCCCCCACAAGAGAAGAACAAAUGGUCGAAGAGGAGCCACCUAACACUGAGGCAUUCGACUUGAUCUUGGUGGCGUCUCCCAGUCAACUUUGUGGCGCCAGGGAAUAAUAUUUAGUUCGCUUUAUUUUAUCAUUUAUUUUUGUAAGACUUCCGCUAUGUAAUAAGUAAUUUAUGAUAAUUAUGACAUUUAUCUCUAUGCACUCUGUUAUUAUAUGUGUUGUCUUCUCUGGCGCAUAUAUGAGAUGCACCCGGCUUUGUUCCUUAAAUCCCGGUGUGACAAUACUCUCCUACAAUUAGUAAUAUAACUUAAACCAAUCAAGAAAUAAAAAAGCAGGCCACAUAAUAAUGAUGCUUUUGAUAGAAUUAGUAGGAUCAAUAAGUACCUUUGCCAGUGCCACUUUUCUUUUUCUUCCCUUUUCUCUUUUCGUGGGAUAUGGUUGAUCAUUUAUUAUUCAGUAUAUAUUGUGAUGGCAAAAACAAAAUAUCUUUUAUGUUAAAGACUUUAAGGGCAUGCUUGCAUGAUAUACCUAUAGAUUCGAACUUUCUGCACAAACAACUAAUUGUCAUAUCUGCAGUGUAAAAUCAAACUAAUGCUCCAAGAGAAGAUUGCAUCUGUGUAACCAUGUAUGUCAAUAUUGACCCCUCGUCGUGCAACAAUGGGCCGGUUAAUAAAAAUUGAUCCUUAAAUUCUGUCUCAAACUCUAAAAAUAUUAUCCUUGUAUAUGAUUCGGUCGCAGUCUUCAACAUAGGUAAUUUGGGCUAUAAGUAGCCAGAAUCUUUUGUCGUGAAUGAAAAUAUGCAUUCACCUCAUUUGCACGAAGACUAGCAAAUACCUUCUCACAUUCUACGAGGAGCUCCGAAAGACCCAAUUUCCUAUGAAAUCUUUUAUUGAAAACUUUAUUCAUCCCUCAACGCAUUUAGGUUUGACAUCCAUACAUUAUCCUCAAGAUCGUACUCCCUCAACAAGUCAUGCCUCUUUUUAUUGAAGUAAAUCUUUGAUCUUUCUUCAUAUAGACAACUCUUAAAAUCAGGCAUAAACUUUCGAUGAUGCUUCUGAAUAACAUGCCCAAGAUGUUUAGCAACAGUGAGUUAAAUAUGCCAUAAAAAAGGCGAUGACUAGUGUUAAGGAAUACAUAAUCUAGCAAGUGUCUUGUCGUGCUCUUUCUAUUGGUGAAUCCGAUCCCGCCAGCAUAGUUAUUGUACAUGUCAUAAGCGGUGUCCUCUGAAUCAAAAGCCAUUCUAACUUUAGGAACAACUGAUGUACGACUGAUAUUAUUAUUCACCUGUUGUAUAUGGGUUCAGAAAACAUAAUCUAACAAUCUCAUACAUGACCGAACAACCUCAAUAAAAAAUAAUAUAUGUUCACAGAAAUACAUCCUUACUCGUGUUGCUUGACUCCUUGUAACACCCAAAAUUCUAUUUUUGGGAUUUAUAAACGUUUCUUCAAAAGAUUGAGUUAAAAUGGCUUUCAAUAAUAAAUUACUUUCUCUAUAAAGUACAUUUUUCUAAAUUAAGUCAAUAGUAAUGUAAAAAAUAGGUAGUUCAAAAUUUAGAUUCAAAUCCUGAAACUAAAGUUUAAGUUGAAAGCAAUAACUAGAAGAAAGAUUUUCAUUCUAUUCAUUAUUUCCUUUGUAACCUUUAACACUUUUUAAAAGUAUUUUAAGUAAAAGAAUCCCUGGUAAAGAUUAUAUAUUUCCCCUAUAUAAGUAAGGUAAUGGACAUUCUUUUCUUUAUGGUUGUUAACUUCAAAUUUGAUCACAUACUCAAAAGUAACAUUUUCCUAAAAUGAAACAAAAUGUGUGUAUGGCAUAUUAUGAGCCCUUCACUACAGUAAACGGAACAACGUCCGACGGCCAAAACCGUCGGACAUAAGGAUUAAACCGUCGGAAAUAGGUUAUCUCCGACGGCAAAGCCUUAUCUCCGACGGCUUUAAGCCGUCAGCGAUAAUUCGUCGGAAAUAGUGCAAUGUCCGACGGCUGCCGUCGGACAUAAGCUAUCUCCGACGGCUGCGUGUGCCCGUCGGAGAUAACAAAUCCCAACCGUUUUACCGGUCGGUAUGUGGGCCCCACAGGAUUAAGUCGACGGCCCGUAGCUAGGCCGUCGGACAUAAGCAUCCCUUAUGUCCGACGGUAUUUAAUGCCGUCGGACAUAACACAGGGUUAUGUCCGACGGCUACCACUAGGCCGUCGGACAUAACAAAUUACAGAAUUUACACAAAAUUCUGUUUUUUAAAAAAUCUGACAUUUACAAAACAAAAACAGAUUCAUGCACAUAUACACAUUCACAUUCACAAUCACAAAUAUACACAUUCUAAUAAGUAUUCACAAUCACAAAUAUUCUCACAUAAAUAUUAACAUUCACAAAUUUAACAUCAACAUAUAGGUUCGACGGUUGUUGCAAACUGAAAUUGUGUCUCACAAACAAGUGUUGCAAAGUGUUUCAUAAAUAAACAUCAUGACACAUCAAUCAUAUCCAUCGUCUGGAUGGUUCGAGUAGCCACCUCCUCCGGCUGGACUCUGCGUGGUGAAAAGGUUGUUGACCCACGAAUGUGUUGUGUCGUCUUGCCCAGACCAUCUCCAGGUGCGGCAACUGAAGCGGGUGGUGUCUGAAAUCCCUAUAACACAAGCACAUGAAAUAGUAAACACUCAGUUGUUCAUUUAAACACAUAAGACAUCUAUGAACAUGUCACACACGCAUAUGUGUACAUACCAUAGGGAAUUGUGACGGAGGCAGAGGCGGAGGUGGAGGCGCCAACAUUGGCAUUGGCAGUGCAAAGUCCGGAGGCGGCAUCCCAUAUGUCGGCAUCGGGACGCCCGCUUGUUGGGCUAGUUGCUACAAAUUAUAUACAAGUCAUUGUUGAACAAACAAGAUACACAUCAAGUGUUUUGCAAAAUAAGCUACAAAAUGUUACUUCAACUUACCGAGAGAAGAGCUUGAUUUUGGGCCUGGAGGCUUGCAUAAUACUCGUCCCUCUUCUUCUGGUACUCGGCUUGUUGUCUCUGGUAUUCAGAUUGUUGCCUCUGGUACUCCAAUUGUUCCCUCAAGACUGAUUGAUGGUACUCUGCCUGUUGACGCAACACUGCAAGCUCUAUCUCAUGGGCUGCUGAUCGUGAACGGGACGACUGUGAAGACGACGAUGUGGAUUGUCGUCCACGGCGUCUCAGCUCUCUGGAAUCAAUCGUAGAAUCAAAAAUACCCAACCUACAAGAGUGAACCAUGCACUUAGUAUAGUAACUCAUGGCUCAGUUGAAUCGCAAGCAUAUGAUGACAAUUUUGAAAACCAAAUCAAAUAAUCUCACCGUCCAUGGGCUUGUCCUCCUGCGCUAGCAUAUGCUGCCUGAGGGUCGAUUGGCUGGCUCCUCCAAUCGUACUCCUCCCCAUGGCGUUGAACCAUCUCCUGCCCAUACGAAGCCUGGAGGCAAACAAUAUCAAAUAUAAGUGCAUAACCCCUAUGCCCUUGCAAACAAUAUCAACACACAUAAUAGAGUAUCAAAAACUCACUAGACGGUCGGUGGCCGUCUGAGUGCAUAACACAUCAGGAUUCUGAGGAUCAGAACCCCUAUGCCCUUGCAUAUACACCUCCACAUCCGUGGGCGUACGGCCGGAUUUGACUUCCUGUACAUAAAAGUUAUAAUGACACAUUUCUAUGUGAUUCAAAGUUACGACAAACUGUGACUUACCAUUCGCUUAGCCAAGCGCACAUGACCAUCACCGCCGUAGUUGUGGAACGACUCAGUCCCACGGUUUCCCCUGUUCCUUUCGGAAAUGGCACGAAACUAAGGGGAAGCCCACCAUCUGCACAAUGCCCAUAACCGUCUGAUCGGGUGGCCAUCCACGGCACCGACACCUACAUGAAAUUUUUUAAAUAAAGCAAGCAAAUACAUGGCUUUGUGCGAUAUGAGAGGCAACAACCUGUUUACCUCUAGGUAUUGCUCCUCCGUCAAGUAAAUUGAUGACCACUCGGCCUUUGUAUUUGGCAUCGGUCGAUCAUCAUCAUUUGCUCUGUACCAUGCCUUUAUAGCCUGAAUUCCUGCAUAGUACAUUGCAUCUGCAACGACAUCGUUCGCGUUAAACUCAAACACGUAACGAGCGUUCAUAUCAUAUGAUCCAUCGUCCGGCAACUUGUACCGUUUCUGCAAAAACCAUAGUGUUAUCAUAAAAGCAAACAUAUAUGGAAUAACUAAAAUAGUAUAAACAAGUCAUACCCAGAAUGCAUCCCAAACUAGUGCCUGUGUGUUGCCAAACGUUCUACAGACACCAUAGCGAUAAUGCUCCCAAGUGGUGGCGGGGACAGACUCGCCAGUAGGCAAAGUCACAACACCAGGCCAGUGCAGACAAACAAGAUUACCAAGAACCAUGUUCACCUGCCUGUAGUGUCCUGUGCUUGUGAACGAGUCGUCGAUCCAAGUCCUGCAAACAGAAAUCAAUGUAGAAAUUAAAACAUAACUUUCAAUAACAUUUAAGCAAAGAUAUGUCACUCACUUUCCACUAGGCUUUAUCACAACCCGAGAUUCGGGUGGAAGCUCUGGAGGUGGUCCAACAAAAUGCAGCUUCCUCGUUCUCUUAACUCGAGAAGUUCCAGACCCAGCUGCAGAAUCUCCACCAGCCCCAGAAUCCCCACCAGCGUCAUCUCCAGCAUCAUCUCCAACAUUAUCUCCACCAUCAUCUUCAACAUCAUCUCUUGCAUGAUCCUCUACCACUGGUUCCUCAAUUUCAGCAUCCUAUGAAACAAAUAACUUACAUCAUACAAUAUUAAGUAACUCAAAUAAUGUAAUUUAACAACUAACUUAAUCUUGUGGAGGCAAAUGUUCUGCCAGCGCUCUCCGUCUGCUCAUGGUAGAACCUGUGCCCUGAAAAACUGAAUCCUCACCCCUCGAGCUGCUCCUCGAGCUACUCCUCGACCCAAGCAAACUAUGAGCUAAAGACUUCAUUUUCUUUGACAUCCUAUUUUAACAAAAACAAGUUAGUACAUAAAUCGACAAUAAAAUAAUAAAAUAUGCAAUAAAAUCAUGAUCCAUACUCGUCAAUCGUAAUCGUAAUCAAAAUCAGGAUCUAGUUGCUUUCGUCGAUUUAAUGGACGCCAAGUAGCUUUCUUCUUUCUCGUCACUCGUUUUCUUUUUGGAGGAACCUCUACAUCAUUUUGAUCGCCUAAUAAAGAUUCUUCCAACAUUUCAGUUUGUACAUUAAACGUGCUUGUAAGUUCUUCGUCUUGGAAAAUCUCAGCAGCCCCCACUUCCUGCUCGAUUUGACUUUCAACAUAACCAGCAUCACCAGGAGCAUAUAGUCGUUCACGCGGAUUAACUUUGUACACUACCCUCCAAUCAACCAAACCGUUUUUCUUAGAUGGAUAUGUCAUAUAAUACACCUGCUCGCAUUGGUGGGCAAGGAUUAUAGUGUCGUGGCCUUUUAAUCUAUCGUUGUGUUUGACUUCCACCAUGCCAUAUUGAUUUUCUCGCGUUGUGUUUGACUUCCACCAUGCAAGUGCUGAUAAUGCUUUCACCCAUAUUUCGUUCCUGGUGCAUGACAUCAAUGUUAUGCAUUAGAAUCAAGGCUUUCAUAUAAGGGAGUUCCCAUAGACCACAUUUGUGAGUCCAAUUAUGCUCGGUUCCAUAACCUUUAAAACGAUUUCCAUGUUCGUUUAGUUUCAAAUCAUUAAGUCUCGCGAGAAUCUCUGGACCACUUAGACGCUUGGGUGGUCCCCUCGUCACAAUCGUGUCCUUUUUAAAAGCGUUCCUAUCGAACCUGAACGGGUGAUCCUCUGGCAAAAAACAUCUAUGGCAAUCGAAGUAACAUAUCUUUCCACCAAACUUUAGUCGAAAGCAUAAAGUGUCUUCAACGCAUAUAGGACAUGUCAAAAUCCCAUGACAACUCCAUCCAGCAAAGAUACCAUAAGCCAUAAAAUCAUGAAUAGACCAUAAAAACGCGGCUCUCAGGUUGAACUUCUGUUUCUUGUAACAAUCGUAUGCCUCGACUCCUUCCCACAAAAUUUUCAAUUCUUCAAUCAGGGGUCUCAUCAUCACAUCGAUCUUUGUUCCAGGAUGAUCCGGACCAGGUAUUAUAAGACACAAGAAAAUAAAUUCAUAUUUCAUGCAAAGAGCUGGUGGAAGGUUGUAUGGAACAGCAAAGACGGGCCAACAUGAGUACGACGUUGCAGUUAGAUUGAAUGGUGAGAAACCAUCUGUUGCCAAACCGAAGCGGACAUUCCGCACUUCAUCAGCAAAGCUGGAAUCAAAAGCAUCUAGUGCCUUCCAUGCAUCUGUAUCAGCUGGGUGCACCAUGACAUUUGGAUUCUCAUGUACCCCUUCUUUGUGCCACCUCAUGUGUCUGGCUGUAUUCUUGGAGAUAAACAAACGUUUCAACCGAGGUAUGAGAGGCAUGUAACGAAGCUGCUUACGUGCAAUCUUCGUAGUCACGGUCAAACCAUCGUCGUUUUCAACCUCAACGAAUCUACGCUCACCACAUACAGUACACUUCUUCUCACCUGCGGUCUCCUUCCAGAAAAGCAUACAAUUAUUUUCACAGACAUCGAUUUUUUCGUAGUCCAUACCGAGGCCAGAUAACAGCUUUUUAGACUGAUACAUGUCCUUUGGCAUCUUGUGAUUCUCCGGAAGUACAUCACUGAUCAAGUUCAAAAGUUCCUUGUAACAGUUAUUUGAGAAUGCAAACUUAGACUUAAUAGCCAUAAGUCGAGUCACAAAUACAAGGACGGUCACUUUUGUGUGCUCAUGCAACGGCUCUUCGGCAGCUUUAAGGAGCUCGAAGAACUUCUGAACCUCAGGUGUAGCUGGAUCCUCAAACUCGGUGGGUUGACCGGGGUUCUCCGAAUCGACGGUUAGAAACUCAUGGCGUACAUCGUCAAGCAUCUCUUCCAUCCUAUCGUAGUCCUCCUCUUCAUGUGACUGAACUUCCGAUACAAUACGAGGAGGUGGGUCCUCACCGUGGUGCACCCACACCUCAUAGCCUGGCAUAUAACCGUUCUUGCAAAUAUGUAUCGACAUAGUCCUCCUGUCAAGGAAAUUAAUGUUCCGACACUUGCUACAAGGGCACCUAACAUCGGUUCCAGUCUCUGACCGAGCAAAAGCAUGGUCGAGAAAAGCAUCAGUCUUGGCCACCCACUCACUUGAUAGAGCACCUCUUUUCUUCCAACCUUCAUACAUCCAUCGACGAUUCUCCUCCAUACUAGAUACGAGACGUUAACUUAAUUAGAUAAGUAAUGCACGGGCCAUCCGUUUUUACGAAGAAAUCACGCCCCUACAUCUGUAGGAAAGGAUAGGUCCUAAACCCACCCAGGAGUGACCGACGAGGCCGUGUUUAUGACAAGACAUGUGGUCGUGCGAAAUUUCGGCAGCAUAACCCCGUUGUUCUCCAAUCGCACGCCUAAAAAUGGUGCAAUUGGAGAACAGAGAGGUUAUGCUGCCGAAACUAAGCAGGAGCACAUGCUUUUGUCAUAAACACGGACUCUGUCGGUCACCCCGAGGCUGUCCAAUAAAGGGACAAUUCCGGCCCAACAUACCUCACAUGCGUCGCUUGUAAGGUGUGUUGGGCCGAAACGGGUGACGCCUAGGUUUCGUUUGUUCACACUACGAUACACUAUGAUUAACUAUAAUCAUCGUGCAUUAUUAAAUAAUUAAACUAAUAAACCACAAUACAAUAUUACAUACGAAAUAACAUUGUUAUAGAUGACAAAUCAUAUAAAAUGGCAUUAUUUCCGAGGGCAUAAUAAUUACCCUCGGAAAUUAAAAAUUUAAAUUAUCUAAAGUACCACUAAAUAAACUAAAACAAGCUACUUUAAUUACGUAAUCAAAUUUUGGUCGUCGGACAUAACAAACUAAACAAUCAAAUGCAUUCAUACAUACAAUUCUAAUCAAAUACAUUAAUACAAGCAUACAAUUCUAAUCAAAUAAAUUAAUACAAGCAUACAAUUUUAAUAAACAAAAUUGCUAAUUAAGUAUACUCACUUAGCGAGCGUGGGGAGCCGGCCGGCGACGGGCGCACGGGGCCGUUGGCCGGAGCACGGGGCGGCGGCCGGAGCACGGGGCGGCGGAGACCGGCGAACGGGGCGGCGGCGGCCGGAGCACGGGGCGGAGCUCGGGGCGGUGGCCGGAGCACGGGCCGGACCACGGGGCGGCGGCGGCGGGAGCACGGGCGCGGCGGGCGUGGCGGCGACCGAGCGCGAGCGGCGGCUAUGGUGGCGGCGACCGAGGCUGUGCGGGACGGCGGCGGCGGCAGAGAGAAACGGCGCGCGGUGAAAUGAAAGCCGCGCGGGUCCGAUCCGCGCGUUAAAAAGCCUUAUCUCCGACGGCUAGGUACGGGGCCGUCGGAGAUAACCUUAUCUUCGACGGCUCGGUACGAGGCCGUCGGAGAUAAGCGCUAUUUCCGACAGCCGGUUGUGGCCGUCGGACAUAACCUUAUCUCCGACGGCUAGGUACGAGGCCGUCGGAGAUAAGGAGGCCGUCGGAAAUGCUUUGUUUUACUGUAGUGCUUGCCUAAACAAAGGAAUAAAAUAAUUAAUAGAAAUAUAUAUAUAUAUAUAAUUUGCAUUCAUGCCGAGAUUUUGGAUUGUUGCAUUUGAACAUAAAUUUGGAGUUUGGAUUUUUAUGUGAAUUUAAAAAAACUGAUAACAGAACAAAUAGAAAAAACAAAACGAAACCAACUUACCUAAUCUAGCCACUUAGAUUCAUGGCACAGUCCCUUUCCCACCCCACGUGACGCAUGCCCACAUGGUCCACCUAUCGGCCCAACUCAGACCCCGCCGCAGAGGCGCAUUCGUGAAAAGUCAUAACCCCAGUGUCCUCUAUCCUGUGUUGCCGCCAUGUGGGCCUGUCUGUCCAGCGUCGUCCUCAUCCCUUCUCUGAUACAACAAACUCCCAACAAACUCGUGUCCAUGCCGUCCUUAUCUCCUCUACCAUGAAUCUCUGAUGUAGAUAUAAACGGCCCCAGGCAUCGCAUACCCCCCCCCACACCUCCUUCAUUCGUCGCUAGGCAGCCUCGCCAGCCCUGGACGCGGCAGUCCUCACUAGGAAGCUAGUUUCCGCCACCGGUGCCACCGUCGCAGGGAGGAAGAGCGGAGAACGCCGCUGCGCGUGUUGCAUUGUCAAAAGGGAUCUCGGCAACAAGCCUAGGAGUGUCGCCCGAGCUCUCCGCGUGCGUUCAAAGCUUCACCGGGGUGGAGUUGAUGCUAGGGGACCUCAAAAUUGCUCAACGGAGCAAUUCCUCCGCCGUGUGCCACCUCAUGUCGUGAGUCGUGCAACCACCACCGCAGUUUCGGGUAAGGAUCCCUGCACCCGAUUCAGAUCAUGAUCCUCUCCGCUUCAUACGGGCUUAUCCGCGACUGUGUUAGGGCAUCAGCGCGCGGGAGCAUCAACUCCGGCGAUGGCAAAGGAAACAAGGGGACUCUCUUUUCUGGAAAAGCAUUCUGGAAGUAAAAGAGGUGUUUUACAAAAACUGCAAAAGAAUCAUUGGAGAUGGUAAAUCAACCAGUUUUUGGAAUGAUUGUUGGUGUGGGAAUACUCCUCUCUCGGUAAGAUUUAAAAGACUUCAUGAUUUAUCUCUUAAUAAAGAGAUAAGUGUAGAAAAGGUGAUAAGUACGAAUUCUGAAUCCUUAACCUUUAGAAGGAGGCUAGUGGGAGCUGGGGCUGACAAUCUCAAGGAGAUGAUAUCCUCAUAUGAGGACAUCUGUCUUAAUGAUUCAAGAGAUAAUGUUAUUUGGUUACUAGAUAAAAAAGGAUUUUCGGUCAAAUCCCUUUACCUUAAUUGUCGAAACAAUUUGGGUCGGGUGCCUUAUAUGUUCAUCUGGAACGCUAAAAUCCCCCAAAGGAUAAAAGUUUUCCUUUGGCUUCUUUUGAGAGACAGGAUUCUAUCCAAGGCAAAUCUUAGCAAAAGGAAUUGGCAAGGAAACAUCAAUUGCACUUGGUGUGAUUGCCUAGAAACUACGCAACACAUCUUCUUUGACUGUCAGAUAGCGAAGUUUACAUGGAGAGUGGUGCAGAUGGUGCUACAUCCCAUUUGUAUUCCCAUGAAUCCCAGUGAGAUGUUUAGCCACUGGCUCCAUCUAUUCAAUAAACGAGACAUGAAUUUGUUGACAGUGGGAUGUAGUGCAGUUCUUUGGACUCUUUGGAAAAUAAGAAACGAAGCUUGUUUUGAUGAUAAAAGAAUAGUUAAUACGUUAGACAUCUUUAUAUUGUGUUGUUUUUGGAUGAACUCAUGGAUUUUAUUACAGAAAAAAUCGGCAAGAAGGAUGCUGGAGGAAAGAAGCAAUCAGAUCAGGAAAAUGGCUAGUGAGUUCUUCAGUCGAGCUUGGGGAUGGUCUCCAGUUGACAGGAGGCUGACGCAGUGAUCGGUUGAGCGGGGGAUCUUUUUUGGCGAUGAUGCUUCUUUCUGUUCUUGAACCUAGAGACUCUUUUGGCUAUUAUAUCAGGAUGUCGGUCUGUAAUAAUGUCUUGGUUAAACCCCCUUUCUUGUCUUAGUCGUCUUGGUUUGGCAAUAGAUUUUGGGUCAGGUCUGAUAAUAGAUGUUGCUGGAUUAGUUGCUGAGCUUUUGUUGCCAAUUGCUUGUUUUGGCUAAGACAUUUCUGGUGUGUGUCUGUAUGUGUUUCCUGUUUCUUAAUGAAAUAGGGGGGAAACCCCUUUUCGUCAAAAAACUCCGGCGAUGGCGCCGCCACCUUGUUGGUGCGCGAUGCCGCUCUGCUCGACUGUGGGAUGAGGGUCUUCGGACCGUUGAUUCCAUCAUGGGCAGUGUAGAUUAGAAGGAUGAAUAACCCUUCGGUUAAUUAAAUCAUGAUCGAUGAUCCAAGGGCUCAGAUGUGAUCAACGUGUGAUCGUAUUACGAGCCGUGGAUCCCUGAUCCGGUGGCCCGUGUUGAAUACCAGUUCAUAACGUUAAGGGGCUUUUAAUCUGGACUGUUGGUCUACAGAUCUAUGGUCCAUGGUGCAUGCAACCGAUGUGGUUGUGGCGUUCUUGCGUAAGAAACCCUCAGAGUUUUAUAAAACCAACCCGCGAUCCUUCUUUGCUGAAACUGCUCACAAGCAAGUCCCUAAAAUUCACAAGUAAGUCAUUGGUACUCGACUUUAAUAUGAAAUUAAUAUUAAAAUAGCCUUAAAACUUAUAAAAUCCAUAUUUUCUUCAUAUUAACUCUGAUUUAGUCCGUUCAAGUUGCGUUAUCUUUGUAGUAAUGUCAUCUACCCCUUAGUAAACCUUAUUUUACUAUUUAACAUGUCCUCAAAAUUAAAUAUUGAUUUGCCCCAUGUUUACUAGAUUAGCUUUUCUAAAACAAAGCUAAAUUGUUCCAUCUAUAAUUUGAUUAAAAUAUAAUCCUUAAUCAAGUUAUAACUUAGAUUAAAGUUGAAUUAGCUAUUUCCUUAAUAUCUUUUCUCAUAUGAUUUACAUUCAUCAACAUAUAAUAUAGUUAUUAUUAUUUAAUCACGAAAAUCUUCCGAAAUUCAUAUCGUAACUCCGAAUUUAUUGUUUCUUGAACCCACGAUGGCCUCGAAAGCGUGGAAGAAAGGCCUCCACCUUCGCAGGGGAAGCCCGCUGUCCUCGUGCCGUGGUAGCGGCGGUGGAUGUAGGCAAGCCGGUGACGACGAGUAGAGUCAGGGGGUGCGAGCAGUGGACGAGCGGAACGGGUGGGUGCAGAUAGAUUGAACUGGGACUAGGAGAAUUGGCACGCCUUGUUAUAUAGAGCUUAGCUAGCCAUUGUCAGUUGCCAUGCACGCGAAUAGAUAGAGACCGAUAGAUACUAGCAUCGAUCUAGACACGGGGACAUGCAUAUGCUAGCUCCACGAGCCCUAUGCAUGCAUGAGUAUUGAGUAGUAUAGUCUCUUUCGGACCCGGGAGUGAAACUUAAAAAGUUAUACAUGGAUUCAUUAGUCUAAUUAAGUUUAACGGGCCAAAGCCCAAAUAAAACACCAUGCACGAUACGUAACAGAACGGAAAUCUUGUCGCACGAUGCCAUUCUUCAAGUAGGCAAUUGUAGUGAUGAAAUAAAUAAUUAUUCAAAUAUCAAUUUUUUUAUUACGAACAAAUAGGAUAUAGAAUCCUCUAUGCAAAUUUGUAUUCACGUUUUUAGCAUUUAGCUUAUAAAGAUUUAUAAAAGGUAAGACUUAAUUUUAUCAUAUAUCUUAUCAAAUAUAGAUAUAAAAUUCAUAUACAAAGUCAGAUACAAAUACGAAUAUUUUUCACCUUUUUCAUUGCAGGGAGCAAAUAACACAUCAAAUAAUUUAUACAACAUUUUAUUCUUGUUUGUGAUCAUGUUCUUGAUAGCAUAAGAAAAAAUCAACAACAAAUUUCAUAUGGAUCUUUUAAAAUAUUAAAUUGUCCUAAUAAUUUAGAUAUCCACAUUCAUCCCUAUACAAUCAUGAUAUGCUCUGCACGCUCGCAAUGUCAUCCUUUUCUAUGCCUAUGCGUUGCCCCACCGAUGUUGUGUCGAUGCUAGCAACUGACUUGCACUUGUGCAUGUCCAAAUGCGUCCAGGCGCAACAGCAUGAUUACGGUCGCGCCACUGUGCACGCACACCGCCUACCAUCUCCAGAUGGGACAUCUAAUACGACAGGAAAAGCAGAUUGGGCCUCGGGCACAAAUUUCCGUCUCGCCCGACGCUGGGCUCGCCCUCGGGCGCAAUCUCCAUCUCGCCCGAUGCUGAGCUCGUCCUCGGGUGCCAUCUCUGCCUCGCCCGAGCUUGGCCUCGGCUACCUUCUCUCUGCGAAUCCCGCAAGCAACCACUCCGCCAACUGUGGCAUAAGUCAGGGAAAGCUCGACAGUCGCCUCGGGAAAACUUUCGACUCGCCCGAGCAAGGCUCCAGGGGCGAAGCUAUAUUGAGUUUAGGGGGUGCAGAUGCACCCCAUUAAAAAUAUAAAACUAGUUAUGAUGAUCAAUUUUUCACCUUAUACGCCUACUGCUCCAUCCCCUUACGUGGCCCGCCGGCCACUUACUGCCUCCGGUCAUUUUGAUGGAACCCCUUGGUGUGCAAUAGUCUAGCAACGCUCGCGGUCCCGCUCCCUACCUCUCCGGUGAGGCCGCCGUGCCCUGCCAAACCGUUGGCCACCCUGUGCUAGAAAGUGCGGAAGAAUGUGGGGGUGUUGCAGCGGUAUGAAAAAUAGUUUGCAUUUUCCAAUGGGAGACUGAGGUGGAAGACGAGGGCACCGACUAGGGAUGGGAAUCGAAUUCCCCGUCGGGUUUUAAUGUGUCCCUGUCUUCGCGACAAUUGUUUUUCCCACAAAGAUCUCCACGAAUAUUUGUAGGGGACAUUUCUUUCCCCGCAAGGAUAAAUCCCUGUUGGGAUCCUCGUCCCCGCUUACAUUAUAAUUAAAAUAUAUUUCAUAUGUUAUUAAUCCAAAGCAUUGUCACUUAUACAUGUUGUCAAAUAUAAAUUCAUUAUGUAUAUAUUAAAAUAAACACAUUUAUAUAUGAGUGAUCUUUGACAAGGUAGUUAUUUAUUUUUAUUAUUAACUAUUACAUAAAAACAUCAUCACGUGUAAGUUUAACGGGUCCCAUCACCUAAGGACUAAUAUGGAAAAUCCAUUUUUCCGAGGGAUUUCAAUUUUCCUAGGGAAAAUGAACUAAUUUUCCUUAUGAAAAUGGAAAUCCCUUGAAAAAUGAGGUUCUCAAACUAGCCCUAAUGGAAGAAUUCUCCGCGGAGAAUCGGGAAUCGGGUCACAUUGAUCUUUCCAUACUGCAUAUUUCUGCUAAAAUUUAUAUAACACUAGGUGUAUGUGAAUGGAAUAAAGUGAAGUGUAAGGCUAUCUCCAACAGUUUACCUAUAUUCAUAUCUAUAUUCAAACUCCAAUCUGCAAAUAGUAUAAAACAUUAUUUUGCGUGACUAUAUGGAUGAAAUGUUAGAUAUGGUCUAAUGCGUCGAUAGAUGUUAUGAAUUUGUCAGAUUUUUCGUAGUGGUUAAAGUGUAGCCUGUUAAACAAGUAUUUGGAUGUGUGAUCACGAUGUAAUACUGUCGGGGACCAUAAUUAGGGGUACCCCCAAGACUCCUAAAUCUCAGCUGGUAACCCCCAUCAGCACAAAGCUGCAAAGGCCUGAUGGGCACGAUUCUGGUCAAGGCACCGUCCACUCAAGAGACACGAUCUCGCCACGCCCGAGCCCAGCCUCGGGCAAAGGCAGCCGACCCAGGAGGAUUCACGACUCGCCCGAGGGUCCCCUCAAGCAACGGACGCACCUUCGACUCGCCCGAGGCCCAGCUCGGGCAGGCUUCGUGGAGAAGCAACCUUGGCCGGAUCGCCACGCCAACCGACCGUAUCGCAGGAGCAUUCAAUGCAAGGAUCGACUGACACCUUAUCCUGACGCGCGCUCCUCAGUCGACAGAGCCGAAGUGACCGCAGUCACUUCACCGCUCCACUGACCGACCUGACGGGAAAACAGCGCCGCCUGGCUCGCUUCGACUGCUGUGCCACUCGACAAAGUGAGGCUGACAACAGCUAAGUCCAUCCUCGGGCGUCAUAGGAAGCUCCGCCUCGUCCGACCCUAGGGCUCGGACUCAGCCUCGACCUCGGAAGAUGGACUCCGCCUCGCCCGACCCUAGGGCUCGGACUCAGCCUCGACCUCGGAAGACGGACUCCGCCUCGCCCGACCCCAGGGCUCGGACUCAGCCUCGACCUCGGACGAUGGUCUCCGCCUCGCCCGACCCUCGGGCCCGGACUCAGCCUCGACCUCGGAGGAGCCUCCGCCUCGCCCGACCCCGGGCUCGGACCGACCACGUCACAGGGGGGCCAUCAUUACCCUACCCCUAGCUAGCUCAGGCUACGGGGAACAAGACCGGCGUCCCAUCUGGCUCGCCCCAGUAAACAAGUAAUGAUGGCACCCCGCGUGCUCCGUGACAACGGCGGCUCUCAGCCCCUUACGGAAGCAAGGAGACAUCAGCAAGGAUCCGACAGCCCCGACAGCUGUACUUCCACAGGGCUCAAGCACUCCUCCGACGGCCACGACAUCACAUGAACAGGGCGCCAAAACCUAUCCGACUGCCACGACGGCAUGUACUUAGGGCUCUGGCUCCUCUCAGCUAGACAUGUUAGCGCAUUGCGACACCCCCAUUGUACACAUGGGCCCUCUCCUUACGUCUAUAAAAGGAAGGUCCAGGGCUCUCGUACGAGAAGGUUGGUCGCGCGGGAGAACGGGCUGGCGGACGACCUCUCUCUCUCUCUCACUCUCCCUCGCGGACGCUUGUAACCCCCUACUGCAAGCGCACCCGACCUGGGCAUAGGGCAACACGAAGGCCGCAGGUUUCCCCUUUGUUGUUUCUCCCCCCUUUGUGCUCCGUCUCGCACCGACCCAUCUGGGCUGGGACACGCGGCGACAAUUUACUCGUCGGUCCAGGGACCCCCCGGGGUCGAAACGCCGACAGUUGGCGCGCCAGGUAGGGGCCUGCUGCGUGUUGACGAACAGCUUCCCGUCAAGCUCUAGAUGGGUAGUCUCCAGCAACCUCUCCAACCUGGGACGAUGCUUCGUUUCGGGAGUCUUGAGUUCAUGUCCCUCGACGGCAGCUACGACAUGAUACUCCUUCCUCCGCAGCGCGACAACGAUAAUGGUGGCCAUCAGCCCGCCCGCCGGCGGCGGAAUCGACGACGUCUUCCCCACGUGGCGGAAGAGCAACAUCCGGGUCUGUCCUGUCACCUUCCCCGCCGACGGAGGAGGAGGCGGGGCAGGCAUGGCCAAGCAGGAGGCGGCACCUCGUCGGCUGUCGAGCGAGUCGACGGCGCCGACGCCCCAGCGGGGGACACGUCGGGCGUUGACCUCGCGUCUGAGACGAAGACGAGCGUCGUCUCCCCGCAACACGCCAACCCCAAGCAGACGGACGACGCCAGCACACUCGCGAAGGACUUGCUGGGCGUCAGCCUCGUACCUGAGACAACGGUGCAGUCCAUCCCCGACGCGACUUCGUCACCGCCCGUCGAUCGAGAGGUACCGUCCGUUUCUCGUCCCAUGCCUUUCAGAUUCAGCUGCGACCCACCAAGCGACCCCGCUUCGGUGGACGCUUUCAUAAAGGCAUGUCCAAACCCUCCGGGUGUAACACCCGGGUUUUAGGGGUCCAAAGCCCGGGCGUAAACAUAAUCACCAGGUGUGCUGGGACCAAGUCUCACACAUAUGAUGAAUCAUGGCACAGGAUCGAAUGUCACAUCUUUACUAUAUAACAGGAGUUCUAUACAAAAUAAAUAGAUAAUUACAUUAUAGGGAGACAACGGUCCAGCAACCCAAAGUUGACUGGGAGACGAUGACCUAGACCUCUCACGAACUCAUCACAGCAUCCUCCAUGAGCAUCAUCCUGCAGUACCUGUUCUUGACCUGUGGGGGGGUGUGAGACAGCAAGAGUGAGCUCACAUACGUUCAUCGCUCAGCAAGUUGUGGGGAAUAAUGUGCAUGAACUCGCCAAAGGCGGGAGCUCAUGUGAAGUGUAAGGCUUACCAAAGAGGAUGGUUAGAGCUGAGCAUUGCUUUUAAAGUUGGUCAAAAUUUUAUUAGCAAUUACUAAGUAUAAGUAAAUACCAGCCCAGUUAAAUAGUAGAACAAAAGUAAUAACCUCACCUGCGAUGCAAUGCAUAUGACAAAUUGAGUUUAAGUUCCAUAAUUUAAUCAUGUGAGGGUCCGAGCUGCUCAUGACCGUGAGCACGGCUAGUAUACCAGUUUUACACUCUGCAGAGGUGGCGCAUCUUUACCCACAAGUCAUGUUACCCAUCUGCCAAGGGAUCGCGACUUCCCAUACACCUCUACCGAGGAGGCGAGGCAGGGUAACACUACGAGGCCUUUACAAAGUUCCACUAGCUUCAGAAAACCCGCUACAGUUUAUAGGAAGCUCCAAUGCAGGAAUCCCUUGCAGGACCGCCAUCACAGCAAAAUCCUCCCGAGGGCCUCCCCAGGAAUCCCUUGCAGGACCGCCAUCACAGCAAAAUCCUCCCGAGGGCCUUCCCAGGAAUCCCUUGCAGGACCGCCAUCACAGCAAAAUCCUCCCGAGGGCCUCCCUACACUGACCACUCCCCUACUGCCCUUGCCCCUUUCGGGUAAGGUAGUCCUCCACUAGCUUUCCUAAUUAAUCAGCCAAGGGCGUCCCAUUAAACCCUUGUGGUAGCACUGUUUUCCCGGGUGGUUCUCCAUGUUCCAAUUAACAUAAUGAUCUUAUCAUGAACAGUAAUAAUAAACAGAUAAUAACAGUGUGAUCAUGAAUAAUGUAUCCUCAUACCCAAAACCACAUAAAAGCACUAGCAAGUACUACCCAAAAAGUUCAGUGGUAAACAAGGUAUAAAGAUAAUCAAACUAGGGUAACCUAUUGGGUCCCAUCAAAAUUAACCUAUGCAGAUCAUUAUGAUUAAUUAGAACAUGAGUGGGUAAAAGAAGUGAUCAAGGGCACAACUUGCCUGAGACUUGAGAUUCCAGGUACCAGGAUGAUCUUCAGGUGACUCGUGACCUCACACUAGUCGUAGCAAUACAAACAAAUAUGGUAUAGGCAAAAUUAACAUCACAACAAACAUAAGAAUAAACUGAGUAAUAAUAAUCUACGCGUUGCUACGAGACUAACGCAACUGGAACGAGUCAAAUCGGAUUUAAAAUGAAGGAGAUACGGAUUUCCUAAGGUUUUAUGUAUUUGAUACAAGAUUAGUUAAGAAAUAAAUUUUAAUACCAUUUUCAUGUUAAAACAGAGGUGCUAUGUAAUGAACAACAUUAUUACAAAAUUUUAGGAACUGGAAUGAAGUAAUUUGGAGUUCAUAUGCAUUUUCUAUGAAUUAUUGAAGUUCUAGGGUUUAUUUUCAUAUUAAAAAUCCAAUUUCCAAUUCAUUUAAUCAAUUUAACUCGGCUCUGGACUGGGCGCAAUAAAUCUGAGAAAGACAGGGGCCUUAGCGCAAUUUAUCUGAAGACUCAGACUUAAUCCCCGCGCGGAUGGCGGGUUGGUUUCAAAGUUUGGCGGGGUUUCUUUUGUAAAACGUACCCGCGAAGGGGUACGGGCCAAUCCCGGCCGUUGGAUUAAAGUUCUACGGCUACGAUUAGACCGGCUUCGAAACGAAUCGGUACCCAGUAGGCACCGCACGAUUACAAAUCUACGGUUUGGAUUUAAAAUCCCCUGCGAUCGCCCCGACCCGUCCGAUCGCGAUCGGACGAUCCGCAUUUACCCUGGCCUGAUCCGCCCUCCCGAUCUAACCUGCACCCUUGAUUGCUCAAUCGACGGCUAGGCUCUCAUCCCCAACCACACGCCACGGCAGCGAGGUUGCCGCACGCGCUACGGCGGCGCUCCUCGCCGGAGUAACCGGAUACGGCAAUUCAGGGCCCCAGAGUCCGAUUGUAGGUAAACUAUACAAAUGCAGAGCUACGGUGAGACAUAGGGGAAGUUGUUACCGGCAAUUGGAACCGUGUUGCGGCCAGUCGACGGUGCAAAGCGGAUCCGAGGCGGAGCUGGGACACCGGUGAGCAAUCGAGGUGGCCCGAGCCAACCACAAGUCCAAAAUAGUCGGCGAUGAGGUUGCGCACGAAUCCGCGAGUUCCUCCGGGCACAAAACAGGGGGGGCGGCGAUAUGGUGCGAAGUUUUGGCGGCGGCGGCACCCGACAAUAGAGAUUCAGUUCCGGUGAAAUUUCGGUGACAGAGAGAGCCAUCCCGCCCGGCGUCGCCAUAACGAGCUUCAACGCGCCCUGGAGAUCUUCGAUGACCAUGCCACGCACACCGAGCGAAGGUAGAUGAGCGGAAUCACGACGACGGCAAGAAUAGCCGCGGCGGCAUCCACUCCUCUCUCAGAUUUGGUCUACGGGGAUGGCUCCCAGCACGAGGCGCCUCGGUUGAUUGUGAGGGGAGGCGGCCACGCUCAUAUACCGUCCAGGGGAGGUUAGAAUCCCGCGAUGCUCGUGAUUCAGCUGCAACAGACGCGGGUUCGCCGGCAAGGUUUGUUACGGAGAGUUCCGCAUCCUGGGCGCGCGACGCGGAGGAGACGGGUCCGACUCUAGGGCCCCACGCGUCAGUGUCACCAAGGGGAGGUAGGCGCGCAGGUGAACAGCUGGGCCGCGCGCGGGGAAAAGCGGGAGGUGGGCCGCGCGCGGAAGGAAGUGAAGUGGGCCAAAGAGGUGGUUUGGGCCCAUGCACGUUUUUCACCUUUCCCUUUUUAUUUUCCUUUUUCUGAAUUUACUUUCCUCUUUGUUUUUAUAAUUCAAAUUUGAAUUCAAUUCAAAUUGUAAGAUUAUACUCAUUUUAAAUGUACACAUUGAAACUAAUAAUAUGAAAGGUCCAAUUAUUUUUAUAUCUAUUUAUUUAUUAUUAUUUUUUUUAUAUAACAUUUUCCUUCUCUUCUCUAACCUCUAAUUUGCAAACUAGGGUUAAAUUCCCAAACUUUGGUAUUAAUAUAUUACUUUUAUAUUGUCACAGAAGGCACACAAAAUAAAAUUCCAGCAUGAUGCAUAAUUUAGUGGCACAUCAUUUAUUAAUUAUUUGUUUUUACAUAUGAUAUUCACAUGUGAUGAUAAGUAUAGUUCACAAAAUAUUGGGCUCUCCUCUAUUUUCACUAUUUACAUUUUUUGGGUAUUACAAAUCCUACCCCCCUUAAAAAUAAUCUCGUCCUCGAGAUUUGUAAGAAAAGGGAUAUAAAAGAAUUGGUUUGUGAUUUUAGCCUUUAAUUUCUAAUUGGUUCAAAAAUUCAGAGUUUCACAUUUUUUCCAUAGUGGGUGAUUUAGGAGAGCAUAGGUAUCCAACUACUUAUUAUGUAGGAUAUAAGAGAUGGAUAGGUUAGGGAAAGAAUAGUUUGGUGAUAAGAAGGUUCAUGGUAAGGAAAGCUUUUCAUCGCAAAUGAUGGGUCUUAUCUCAUUUGGAGAUCUGGUCUGCCUCCCUUCUUGCCUUGACGUUGAUCUUUUCCUUUCUUUCGGUCUUGGUGUCUCCAGCUAGGUUUUAGGGUCAUGUAGAUAUAUGUGGGUAGGAUAAGCCACAUGAGGUAGGUCAAGAUCUGGUUUGAUGUUUAGGUUGGAAUGGAUGGUUUAGACAACCCAUCGUGUAUGUUAAGUAGUUGUGUACGGCCAAGUUGUUAUAAGGCAUCAAUUUAGGUUAAAACGUAGCUAGUAGUGUCUAAUCUAUUUCACCAGUAUUAAUUAUCAUGUUUAAGUAGCCACAUUAGAUUAGAUCAUAUAAGAUUAGAUGGGAUCUAGAUUAGAUUGGUAUGACUAUAUUAAACUAGUUAGUGUCUAAUUACUUUGGAUUAGAUCAUGGUUAUUACUAGUGUAGGGUAAAUAUGCUUAUUGGGGUAAGAUGAAUUCAUAAGGAUAAGGUAGAAUCUUUUGAGGUCAGAUAAGAUAAAUCUUUUCAAGAUAAGAUGAGAAUCUAUUUUCUUUUAGGAUAAGAUGGAUCUAUGAGUGUGGGAUAGACUUUUUCAAGAUAAGAUGGAUUUUGCUAGGCUAGAUUCCUAGUUUAUUUGGAUAUUUUUAUAACGGUUUUUUUUUUUUAUAUGUAUAUGCAGAUGUGAUUGUGGACAUUACUCCACAACUCAUCACACUCAAUCAAAAAUCCAAAUCAAACAAGUAUCAUAAGAACAAACAUUCAAGUGCAUAGAUAACUAUAUAAAAAAA
rnacentral:lncRNA from 1 species